rnacentral:rRNA from 1 species
UGGGGAAUAUUGGACAAUGGGCGCAAGCCUGAUCCAGCUAUGCCGCGUGGAUGAAGAAGGCCCUAGGGUUGUAAAGUCCUUUCGUUGGUGAAGAUAAUGACGGUAACCAAAGAAGAAGCCCCGGCUAAUUUCGUGCCAGCAGCCGCGGUAAUACGAAAGGGGCUAGCGUUGUUCGGAAUUACUGGGCGUAAAGCGCACGUAGGCGGCCUUGUAAGAUGGGGGUGAAAUCCCUGGGCUCAACCCAGGAACUGCCUUCAUGACUGCAAAGCUCGAGGAUGUGAGAGGUUGGCGGAAUUCCGAGUGUAGAGGUGAAAUUCGUAGAUAUUCGGAAGAACACCAGUGGCGAAGGCGGCCAACUGGCACAUUUCUGACGCUGAGGUGCGAAAGCGUGGGGAGCAAACAGGAUUAGAUACCCAAGUAGUCCCUGAGCGGGCUGGCAAGGCGCAU